GUGUGAUUUAGGAUUCUUGGCAUUUGGGCUUGCACUCCUGAGACUCUGCCGCAAGUGCUUAUAUCCGCACUUGGGUAGAUUUUCCCCCCCAAAAGCUAUUUCAUUAGCUACUUUCCAUUAAGCACCUGCAGAGGUUGUUUCUUAUUCCUUCAGGGUUUACUUCCAAGAUCAGGCAGUGGGCAGGAUUAUUGAUCCAACACACUUCUUCUGUCCUGUGUGAAUUCAUCUCCUGAGCACCUGCACCAGGCUGUGCCUCUGUCUUAACCCCACUGCAGAAAUUCACAGCAGCGUCAGGAAUGUGGCGUCUGUCAACACAUGCUGCAAGAGAAAUACAGAAGCCUAAAACCAGGUCCUGGGAGGAGGAACUUGUCUGAGUGAAGUUAUCCAGCCUAAAGCUCUUAGGUGCUUUAGAGAGAUGGUCGUUUUCUAUACGGCUAGAUAUGAACAAAUAAACUGAAUUACAGACCUCUGUACUUUG